rnacentral:rRNA from 1 species
CGACCCCAGGUCAGGCGGAACCCGGAUUACCCGCUGAAUUUAA